AACCUAGCACACCUGCGGUGUGUACCUGCGGAGGGAUCAUUACAGAGUUGCAAAACUCCCUAAACCAUUGUGAACGUUACCUAAACCGUUGCUUCGGCGGGCGGCCCGGGUCCUUCCCGGCGCCCCUCGGCCCUCGCGGGCGCCCGCCGGAGGUAAACCAAACUAUUGCAUUGUAUGGCCUCUCUGAGUCUUCUGUACUGAAUAAGUCAAAACUUUCAGCAACGGAUCUCAGAUCGGAAG
rnacentral:misc_RNA from 1 species